rnacentral:misc_RNA from 1 species
UUUCCGUAGGUGAACCUGCGGAAGGAUCAUUAAUGUGUUUGGGCCUCACGGCUCUUCAUUCCGACGCUGUGCGCCUUCGGGCUGCACGCUGAGGGAGCAUAUAUCCACCCCUGUGCACACACACGGUGGCGAGCUGGGUAACGGCUCGCCGCUGAUCUUUACACACGUCUAAAAGUCAUUGUAUGUUUAUUUGAGAUAAAAACACAACUUUCAGCAACGGAUCUCUUGGCUCUCGCAUCGAUGAAGAACGCAGAAGACCGGAGAGCAACACGCUGGAAC